CUUUACUGAGAGGCUAGUGGAUGCAUGUAAUAGCCUUCCAGCUGAAGUGGUGGAGGUUAACACAGUAAAGGAGUUUAAGCAUGCGUGGGAUAUGCAUAAGGUUAUCCUAACUAUAAGAUAAGACCAGGGUCUAAUGAAAGUAUUUUAAAAAAUUGGGCAGACUAGAUGGGCCAAAUGGUUCUUAUCUGCCAUCACAUUCUUUGUUUCUAUGUUUCUAUGUUAUUAUCCAGUUGUGUUAUAAUUUACUGUUUGCACUCUUUCUUAGCCUUUUAGCUGGUCCUAGUCACAUUUUCACAGUCAUGCAAUGUUUUGUAUACCUAGGACAUACUUGAAAACGAGAGAAAUCGCAAAUGUGUUGGAUGUCAUUAAACUGCAAAUUUU